CAAGGAGUGCAAGAGGCGUGCGAGUCUUUGGUUGUUGUCAGCCCCUGGGGCGCAAUGAAAGUGAAGGGGGGCCUUGUGUUCCCGAGGCGAGAGCCUGCCCGUGUUGCUGGGCCCAUCGUCGACCGAUCCCGGGCUGCUCUGCGGUGGGAUUCAAGUGAGAGCGUGCCUGUUGCGACCCGAAAGAUGGUGAAC
rnacentral:rRNA from 1 species